rnacentral:lncRNA from 1 species
UGUCUGCAGUCCCCACGCUCUCCAAAAUCAAUCUCGGAGAGCAAGGCAGUGUUUUGCUGAGAUUAAGCAGAUUUGCAAAUUAGGAAGAUUAAAUGGAAAUGUAAUGAAAUGAAAAUUAAAUGUCCUUCUAUUUUUUUAUUAUUAUUUUUUAUUUUUAUUAUUUUUUUGAGAGAGACAGAGACAGAGACAGAGAGGAAGGAAGGAAAAAAAAAGGAAAAAUCGCCCUUUCCUGGGAGGUGUCUUUUGAGUGAUCCCCCAAAACGCCUUUCCCGGAGCAGCUCCCUGUCAAACUACACGCGCUCCCGUCCGGAGGGACUGAAAAGUGAUUCAAACUCUCCGGGAAGCACAGACAUUUUUAAUUCCAUCUGAUGCAGCAGCUCGGAAAGCAGCGAGAUCAGCCACCGGGGCUGCAAAGGAGGCUCUCUGCCUCCUCAAAUCCCCCAAAAGCAGAGCGGUUUUACUCAUCAAGGAAACAGCCGAGAAAAAGAAGGAUCGGAGGCACUCACCAGAGCGUAGACCGAGCUCAGCACGGAGCAGCAGAGGAUCAAACCCAGGCUGUGAUAAACCAGAUAUGAUCCCAUAUCCAAGGGGCUCCUUCCAGCAUCCACGCUCUCUCGGGGAAGUUGGAGGACGGAGAGGUCUUCCAGCGCUCCGCUUGCAGAUGAUUUCUCCUUCCCUCCCUCCAACCUCCCCCCCCCUCCACCUCACUCUCCAGAACCGGUGUUUGUUUGUUUGUCUGUUUGUUUGUUUGUUUGUUUUAGCCGGAAAGGCACAUGACGAGAAAGCCCGGUCCUUUGCUUCGCUUUCUCAUGGCUGGAGAUGCGGGCAGCUCCCGAAAGGCAGCGGAGGAGCCCAUGCGAAGAAGCGGAGCGACUUCGGCUUCGCUCAGCGCCGCAGCCCCCGGUGCUGGUUGUUUUCCGCGUGCAUCUGUCUCAGAGCAGAAAAAUCACAUCCAUAUGUCAAAGCCGCGCUCUUCUGUUUCCUUUUUAUGAGGCAGUGGGAAGUUCAAAUAAUUUCUUUGUCAAACGCAAACACACAGAAAGAGGCAGAGAGGGAGGGAGGGAGGGAGAAAGGCGAGAGAGGGGUGGAAGGGGUGGGAGAUCGGAGAGGGUGGGGGAGGCUUUAAACCACGGCUUUAUUUUUAGAUCCAGUAAUUUUAUCUUUUGGGUUUCGGAGGGGUUUGGAAAGAAAGAGAGAGAGGGAAAAAAAAAAAAAAAAGCCUUUUUUUUUCUUUUAAUUCUUUUUCUCCACUUUCGCCACACGAACGGCUCUCAGAGCAGAAAGUUACGGGGAAAAAAAAUAGCGAAAACUUGGAGAUAUUUUCCCUCCUCAUUUACUUUUUCUUCGCAAACAGCGGUGCUUUUGGGGGGGACCUUUUCCUCCUUUUUUUUUUUUUUUUUUUCCUUGCUGGUGUAUCGCCGCGCGUUUCGCCUCCACAAUAGGUUUAUUCUCCAGCCCUCCGGGUCGAAGUGUGUUUCAGUUACAAAUCGGGAUUUUUUCGCUCCUCUCUCCCCUCUCUGCCUCAGAGGAUCUGCAGUUUCAAAAAGCCGAUUGAACACGGCGUGAAAGCGUGAGGCUGACGACUCCCCCGCCUCCUACCGCCACUCUCUCUAGUCCUCGUUCCGUGCCCCGCAAGGAGGAGCCCCCCGCGGAACCCCUGGCGCAUCGCAUCCCCGCUUUCCCCCCCUCAUGUCCCCAGCACCUCGCACCCCUCGUGGAUGUCACCAGCAUCGCAGUUUCAAGGCUGGGGAUGGUGCUCCCAGCUCAGCCGGGCGCUUUCAUUCAUAAAAUGGCAAGAUUGUAUCCAUGAAUGUGUGUAUAAUGAACCCAGAAGGAAUGCAGCACUAAAAGAAGCCUUUGUAAUGUUGCUAUUUUAAGGAGACCCUUGGGUAUGGCACGUGUUGAACUGAGUUUCUCCAACAUCUUACAACAAACCAAAAUGUUUAGAUCCUCCUACUGAUGUAAGACAGCAUAAAAAAAAUACAUAAUCAAUCUAAACUGGCUAAGGUUUUGACCAGGAAUUAUUGCUCCUGUGAAUUGGCUCUGUAUUGUAGCUAACUUUUACACAGCCUAAUAAUAAACAUCUCCUCCUCCCAGCUGGGUGAAUGUUUCCCCUCUGCUGGAGAUCAGGUCCCAGUCUGGAUAAAACACCUCUUGUCCUUUCUCUCCUCGGUCACUCAGGUUCAGUGAAACAUCAUGACUUACAUCAGCCAAAGCCUUUGAUCAGGGAGGGAAAGGUCUGACAUGGAUGGGGUUGGCAGCCACGCUGCAAGAAUCCCUCAUUGUGCAAGAAGCCAGUCCAAUGACCGACUGUCACCAAGGGUGAGACAGCCUUUUCUGCUCUGUUUGCUCUGUUUUCACUUGGCUAUUGCUGGCGUUUUGUUUGCAAAAUCAAGGCCAAAAUAUACAAGAAGCAGCUUCGAACAUGUUGGGUUUGUGCAUUAAGCCAGAUAGCCAUCAUGAAUUUCUGGCCAUUUUUGUUGUAUGUGUUGUAAAGAGCAGAAUUUUGCUGUCAGCAUUUUGUUUUCACAUGGUCAGAGAGGAGAAGGAGUAUAAUAGAGGUCCAAUUGACACUGUUUACACAAAGAUGAAGUCGUAACUCUUGGCUGAGAUGACUGUGGAAGUGGUGUGUGAUGGCUUCUUUGUUGGCUCUUUAAGAAAACAUCUGCUCUGGAUCUCGUGGACAAAAUCUAGGGUGAAAAAUUCUCUCAUUGCAAAAUGAGAAGCCGGAUGAAAAGCCCAGAGAAGCUGUGGGUGCUCCAUCUCUGGAGGUGCUCAAGGCCAGGUUGGAUGGGGCCCUGGGCUGCCUGAUCUGGAAGGUGGUAAUCCUGCCCAUGGCCCCGGGUUGGGGCUGGAUGACCUUUGAGGAUGUUUCCAGCCUAGGCCGUUCUAUGAUUCUAUGAGUUUCUCCAAUAGCAUCCAGCACUCAAGGAACAGGGCUGCUUUGGAAAUGUAUGUCAGAAUAAGAAAAAUACAUUUUUUGUACUCACACAUUGAACAGCGAAUGAAUGCUCAAGAAGAAUGAGGGUGAGAAUUGAAUCCAUUAAAACACUUUCUGGGACAAUAUUUUUGCUUUCAGCAGCUUUCUCUUCUGCUUUGCUUCAAUUCCUUCUAAACUCUGCUCCCCUUCCUCCAGGUGGUAUGAAAUAAAAAACAGUAAUAAAUAGAUUUUUCUAUAUAGGAAAAAAAUCAAAAACAAAUAAAAAUAUAUUUUUAAAAAUUUAGAUUUCUCUGUAAAGACUCUUCAUUAAGUACACAGAAAUGCUUGUGAUAUGUGGCCAUAGAUGGGCUGUACGCCUCUUCUAAUGCCCUGCAGUAUGGUUUACAAGGUGACUCAGUAACUGGGGCGAAGUCAUCGUGGUGGGUUUGGGUGCCCUACAUGAGAAGACGCAGAAAAUGUGUCAGAAAAAGGAUCACAGACCUGAAAAUGGUUUGGGAGAAGAGAGAGAUGAGGCGUGUGGAGUUGAGGUCUUGGGUUAAGGCAACAAAGGAGUGUUGGAGGUGACAGAUGAACCCAAAGGCAUUUUGCAUCUUAAGCAGGCCAGAUGGGUUAGCAAAGUCACCAGUAGAACACAAUUGUCAGUGGCUCCAUACAGUGACCUUUAGCUGAAACAAAGCUAUACAAAAGGAGCUCAGGGCAUGCAAGUAGGUGAAGGAAAAUCCUCAUCAGCAAUAGGCUUGGCAUCCAUUUGGUUGUGUUUUCAUGCAGACAAGGUGGGGCAGACAGGCUCUACACAGCAACACGUGCUCUUGCCUUAUCCCAUCUCUGUUGUUCUCCUUGCUGUAGGCUGAUGCUUUGGACCCAGAAAGACACAAGUGGGAUGGAGAUCAGAGCCCUGGGCUUUUCCCCGCAGACCAGCAACUGGUGCCAUUUCUGGCUGAUUCUCUACUUUUCUCUUCCUAAACCAAAGGCAAACUCCAUUUGGGAGGUGAGCAAGGAAAACCCCUCCAAAACAGCCAGGAGCUGAAAAGAUUUGGCAAGCUUUGCAGGAGAAAACUGCCAGCAGGGAAAGACGAGGUGGAGGCAUUACUCUGACAGAAGAAGCUCUGAUUAGCAGAUUAUCACUUAAGUGAUGUUGAUCCCAGCCACGCUGCCUUCCAAAUGAGCCCUUUCACAGCUGCCAGCUGCACCACGGAGUCGUGAAUGUAAAUGAGUGGGCCAGAUCCUCUGCUGGCAUCCAUCGACGUGGCUUUGAUGGACCAUCCUGGAUCUACAACAGCCGGAGGAGUGUGGCUGUCGUGGGAGCCUGACUUGCUAUGCAGAUUUCUUUGAGAGCCUGUGGGAAAGGGCCUGAAGCUGGAUGUACUGCAGGAUAGGGCAGCAUCAACUGCACAGCUGGAGGGACCCUUGAGACUUUGACUUUUGCUGCCAAACAAAGCCAUCUUUUUGCUGAGCUUGUAAACUGUUCCCUGGUACCGUACGCCAGCAUAUAGCAUCCUGCCCUCAUAAAGCUCUACUUAUCUCCAUCCAACUUCUUGGGCUGAGCGUGUGGGAAGCAUGUGAGGGACACUCAUGAGCAGCCUUGCAUUCUCCGAGCUGUGCUUUCCCCUGGGGAAGGCAUACUUGACCUCUGGCCACGUCCAUCCAAUCUGACAGACUGGUCUUCGGAGAAUGGUGACCAAGAAUAAGCUCCAUGUCCCACAUGCCACCUGUUCAUCUGCACCGCUCCCUCUCCAGCAGCUCAUGGGCCAUGCCCAGCCUAUGUGUGACACCUCUCUGGCUGCUCAGAUGGAAAGUAAGAGCUUGGAGAGUGAGGACAGCAUGGAGUUAUGGAAGACAUGGCUACAAGAGCAUUCUUUCUCCAUCUCCAUGUGCUUCUGAAGGACCAGUCUGAUUCUGGCUCCUGCCAAGUUAGGAUAUGCUAUGAUUCUGUGAACACUUUUUGCAGCAAGUCAGCCAUAAGAAACAACAUACUCUCAGACAAUCAAGCCUCCAAAUUAAGGUGGGGAGACUUGUUGUGAAGGAGAUGGUUUUUUUUUUCCUACUGUAGAAGGGAUGUUCAAUGCUAUAGUGACAAGGAACAAUUCUUCAGCCUUAGACAGCAGAAAGAAGAAACAUAAAGAGACUGUACAGUUCUUGGGACACCGAGACAACUAUCUACGUGCUUUGUGGAAGCAGAGACAAGUAUGAGAUUUGGCUUUCUGGGCUAUGAGGGCACACAGCUGGCUCACAUCCAGCUCCCAUCCACCAUUUAGAUAAGAUACUAUUGCUUUUAAUAAAGACAAGUCAAAGAUCUUCUCCUAAGUGCUCUUAAAGAACUCCAGCAUUGUGUCUACAAUAAUCCAUCCGCCUUAAAGGAUCCAGCAGUACAUCACCACCAGUGGAUAUAAGAAGUAAUUAGUCAUCAUUUAGGGAAGUAAGAUUUAACAGUUAUUUUGUUGGCAGAAGUGCCGUGAUAAAAAUGGUACUCUGAAAGUUAUUUGGUAUUUCUCAUUGUUGCCAGAGUUCUGAACAUUUUGAUAGGAUGAACAUAGACUUCGGUAGGAAAGUUGUGGAUUUUUUCCCCUCCAUUUAGUAGAAAUAUAAAUGUUACAAAAUAAAUAAUGAUAGAAUAUAUGUGUAUAUAUUUUCAAUGCAUAUUUUAAAAUGCAUAUGAAAUGCAUUUUUUAAAAUAUUUUGUUCAAAUAUUUUUACUAAUGUUGUAUACCUUGCAUCUGUGAAGAGGGUUAUCCCUUAAACAUCCUUUCUUCAGACAGUACUGGGAUUCAUCCUCAGGCCCCGUUAUCUUGCUCUACGUUUCCUAGAGUCCAUCUAUAUAAUAAAUCAGAAUACUGCAUGGUUACACAUCGUAAUUAUUUUUUAAAAUUAUUUUUUAUUUUUUUGCUGAUUGGGGAAAUGGUGAAAACUGGUUUUUGCAUAUUUCAACAAUGUUACUCAGCCAAGUAAAAGAACAAGGGAGCAGAAUGGAAGAGAAAUGAAGAAAUGGAAGGAAGGAAGGAAGGAAGGAAGGAAGGAAGGAAGGAAGGAAGGAAGGAAGGAAGGAGGGAAGGAGGGAAGGAGGGAAGGAAGGAA